rnacentral:rRNA from 1 species
UUAGGAAUAUUCGGCAAUGGGGGAAACCCUGACCGAGCAAUGCCGCGUGAGUGAUGAAGGCCCUUUGGGUCGUAAAACUCUGUUGUAAAGGAAGAACACUUAUUAUAGGUAAUGAUAAUAAGUUGACGGUACUUUGCCAGAAGGCCCCGGCUAACUACGUGCCAGCAGCCGCGGUAAUACGUAGGGGGCGAGCGUUAUCCGGAUUUAUUGGGCGUAAAGCGUGUGUAGGCGGUUUAUUAAGUCUAAGAUUAAAGCCCGAAGCUUAACUUCGGUUCGUCUUAGAAACUGGUAGACUUGAGUAUGGUAGAGGUAAAUGGAAUUUCUAGUGUAGCGGUUAAAUGCGUAGAUAUUAGAAGGAACACCAGUGGCGAAGGCGAUUUACUGGGCCAUUACUGACGCUGAGACACGAAAGCGUGGGGAGCAAAUA